UAGAGGGCGAUCCUGGCUCAGAUUGAACGCUGCCGGCAGGUAUAACACAUGCAAGUCGAGCGGAUGAAGGGAGCUUGCUCCCUGAUUUAGCGGCGGACGGGUGAGUCAUGCCUAGGAAUCUGCCUGGUAGUGGGGGAUAACGUUCCGAAAGGAACGCUAAUAUGGCAUACGUCCUACGGGAGAAAGCAGGGGACCUUCGGGCCUUGCGCUAUCAGAUGAGCCUAGGUCGGAGGAGCUAGUUGGUGAGGUAAUGGCUCACCAAGGCGACGAUCCGUAACUGGUCUGAGAGGAUGAUCAGUCACACUGGAACUGAGACACGGUCCACACUCCUACGGGAGGCAGCAGUGGGGUGAAUUGGACAAUGGGCGAAAGCCUGAUCCAGCCAUGCCGCGUGUGUGAAGAAGGUCUUCGGAUUGUAAAGCACUUUAAGUUGGGAGGAAGCGCGGUGAGCUAAUACCUUGCUGUUUUGACGUUA
rnacentral:rRNA from 1 species